GUGCCCUCGAGUCCUGCACCGCCCCCGCCCCCUGGGUGCCCCGGCCCAGCUCCCGACCAGACCAGCGCAGGGCUGAGGGCGAGCUCCAGAGGCCUAGUCUCUGCCUGCUGUGUGGCAGGAGCCCCGCCUUCUCCGCCUCCGCCGCGGAGGUGGGGCCGCGUCCACACUGACAGGAGCCUCCUCAGGACCCGCCGCGGAGGAGGUGGGUGCGCGUCUACGCUGACAGGAGCCUCCUCAGGACCCGCCGCGGAGGAGGUGGGUGCGCGUCCACGCGGGCCGGAGCCCCCUCAGGACCCGCCGCGGAGGAGGUGGGUGCGCGUCCACGCUGACAGGAGCCUCCUCAGGACCCGCGGCGGGAGGGGCAGGACAGAAGAGCCGUGAAGGCACGAGCUCGGGGGGAUCAGCAUAAACCUCGGUGAUGAUCCUUCCUGAUCCCGGAGCCAGAUCUCGGCCUCCUUUUGGGACCCGACGUCGUAAAGAAGCCCGGGUGGUCAGUGGCUCGGAUGCAGGGUGGAGGCCGAAGGAGAAUCAGGAAGAACAAAAUAGGGGGGAAACCAGAA
rnacentral:lncRNA from 1 species